AGAACGAACGCUGGCGGCGUGGAUAAGACAUGCAAGUCGAGCGGAAUAAUCAGGGUAGCAAUAUUCUGGUUGUUCAGCGGCGCAAGGGUGCGUAACACGUGGGUAAUUUGCCAUGAAGUUUGGGAUAACUUGCUGAAAGGUGAGCUAAUACCGGAUGUAACUUUUGGGAGGCAUCUCCUGAAAUUUAAAGUUGGGGACCGUAAGGCCCGACGCUUCUUGAUAAGCCCGCGGUCUAUCAGCUAGUUGGUGAGGUAAUGGCUCACCAAGGCUAAGACGGAUAGCUGGUCUGAGAGGACGACCAGCCACACUGGAACUGAGACACGGUCCAGACACCUACGGGUGGCAGCAGUCGAGAAUUUUCACAAUGGCGAAAGCCUGAUGGAGCGACGCCGCGUGGGAUGAAUGGCUUCGGCCCGUAAACCCUGUCAUUUGACGAACAAACCUUAUACGGUUAACAACCGGUGAGCUGAUUGUAGCGGAAGAGGAAGGACGACUAACUCUAGU
rnacentral:rRNA from 1 species